AACCUCCGCAAUGUGAGAAAUCGCGACGGGGGGAUCCCAAGUGCCAUUCUUAACGGGAUGGCUUUUCAUUAGUGUAAAGAGCUUUUGGAAUAAGGGCUGGGCAAGACCGGUGCCAGCCGCCGCGGUAACACCGGCAGCUCUAGUGGUAGCAGUUUUUAUUGGGCCUAAAGCGUCCGUAGCCGGUUUAAUAAGUCUCUGGUGAAAUCCUGUAGCUUAACUGUGGGAAUUGCUGGAGAUACUAUUAGACUUGAGACCGGGAGAGGUUAGAGGUACUCCCAGGGUAGAGGUGAAAUUCUGUAAUCCUGGGAGGACCGCCUGUUGCGAAGGCGUCUAACUGGAACGGUUCUGACGGUGAGGGACGAAAGUUAGGGGCGCGAACCGGAUUAAGAUACCCGGGUAGUCCUAACUGUAAACGAUGCGGACUUGGUGUUGGGGUGGCUUUGAGCUGCUCCAGUGCCGAAGGGAAGCUGUUAAGUCCGCCGCCUGGGAAGUACGGUCGCAAGACUGAAACUUAAAGGAAUU
rnacentral:rRNA from 1 species